rnacentral:rRNA from 1 species
UACGUAGGGGGCAAGCGUUGUCCGGAAUCAUUGGGCGUAAAGAACGUGUAGGCGGCCCGAUAAGUCCGCUGUGAAAGUCCAGGGCUCAACCCUGGAAUGCCGGUGGAUACUGUCGGGCUCGAAUCCGGAAGAGGUGAGUGGAAUUCUGGUGUAGCGGUGAAAUGCGCAGAUAUCAGGAGGAACACCGGUGGCGAAGGCGGGUCUCUGGGCCGAUACUGACGCUGAGGAGCGAAAGCGUGGGGAGCGAACAGG